GCAGCGACUGCUCAUGGUUAUUAAUCUCUCACCAUGGCCUGUGGAGUGUGUGUGUGUGUGUGUGUGUGUGUGUGUGUGUGUGUGUGUGUGUGUGUGUGUGUGUGUGUCGGGAUGUAUGCAGGUAUAUAUAUUGGGGAGCGGUGUGAGUGUGAGUAACUGGGCGUUAUACAGACUCCCCAUCAAGAUUUGCCUGUUGACCAUAGAGGAGUACUCCGGGGCCAGGAGCUCUGGAGUGGAGAAUAUGGACACAAAGACCCAGAAUGUCGGAGCUGGAAGACCCUACAGAACCCAGAACCCAGAAGAUUGUGAAACCUCAGAAUUUCAGAGUUGGCAGAGACUUCAGAGGUCAGCCAGAACAACCCAUAACUGAAGAGCUGAGAUUUCAUUCAACACACUGAUGAGUGGCUGUCCAGCCUGUUUGGCCCCCUACACAGGAAGGAACCCAGAAGCUACUGAAAGCAGCACUUUCUAGUGUUGGACAACUUGAAUUCUCAGGAUCACAAAAUGCCCAGAAUUGGAGACACUCUUCGCUAGCUUCCCCAGGGUGAUGGAUUUUCCAGCCUGAUUGAAAAGCAUCUCAGAGAGGCUGAGAUCUGUGUUGGCGGAGGGGCACCCACUUCACUGAAACCACAGACUGAAAUUCACCUACAAAGUACAGAAUGAUUCAAAUUCUAAUAGCACUUUAAUUCUAAUAGCACUUCUCCAUUUUACAGAGAAAGAAACUGAGGCUCUGAGAGGUUAAGUGGCACAGUUCAUCAGUGGUAUUAUUUCUGAGGCUGAAGCCAGAGAGGAAUGAGAAGGAUCCUGGCCUCUCCUCCACUGAUAUAACAACAGAGGAUUAGAAACUGGUGUGAAUGAGGAUGGCUGGGUUGUGUAUGCAGAGUCAUAGGUUAGCAUAGUCCCCUAUAGACUCCUCAGAAUCAUGUUUUUAUUAAUUUUAAAAUUUAAUUUAAUUUUUAAAAAUUUUAUUUAACAUUAUAUUGUCUUGCCUAUCAGACCAGGACUGUCUUUCAUCUUUCUUAAUCUCCCUAGAAUUUAGUACAGUGUCUAGCACAUAGUAAGUGCUUAAUAAAUGCUUAUUGACUGAAAAAAUGUGUAUUUAAGUAUUUUCCUAUGGUUACAUGAUUCGUGUUCUUUCCCUUUCCUCUUUCCCCUACCCCGUCCCAGAGCCGCUAAGCAAUUAUAUAUGGAUUAUCACUCAAUCUCUACUUCCAUAUUAAUCAUUUUGGUAAUAAUCUUUUAAAAACCAAAGCCAGAAUUAAAUGAACGAGAUAAAAUACGUAGAAUUACCAAGGAAUCCUGUUGAAAUAUAGUUCUCCACCUAUAUUGUUAAAAACCAAACCAAACCAAGUAGUAGCUCAUGCUAAGAGCCCCUCGGGAGGACCCUCCCCCUGUGGACAGAGAAGCCAGCUCUAGAUUCUUAUGGUCUGAAAUGGACCUUGGGGACAAUUAGAUCCAAACUUU